UACUGUUUUUGAUACUUAGACGUUAGUUGCUGUAUAGAUUAGUGUUAGGAAAGAUCUUCAUGUCUAAAUCUUCAUCCCUUUUUGCUGUAUAUAUAGGUGGUGAUUUUGGAAUCAGGUCUCACAAAUCCACAGCUAGGUUUACGCGCACUCUCCAGGGCGUUGUCACAAAGGGGAAUUGCAAAGAAUAUCUUGGUGAUUGCUAAGGCUUGUGUACCAAUUAUCAAGUUCGUUGACAUUUUAGCAUAUAGUUUUGGUGUAUCCUUCUAAACAGAAAGUGGUUGUUAAUGUGAAGUCAAAGCUAAAGUCAUUAUGGAAAGUGGUGAUGUUCCUUCAUUCAUCAAGCUUCUCAGCUCUCCCAGUGAGGAAGUCCGGGAACAGGUAUCAGUUUAGAUUUUGAUUUUUGUAUAAUGUUUUGGCUAAGAAGCUGUUAUAUCAUAUUGUUUGAUGACUCUAAAUUAUGAAAUGCAAUAAUUUUAUAAACAUU